rnacentral:rRNA from 1 species
GACGAACGCUGGCGGCGUGCUUAACACAUGCAAGUCGAACGGAAAGGCCCUGCUUUUGUGGGGUGCUCGAGUGGCGAACGGGUGAGUAACACGUGAGUAACCUGCCCUUGACUUUGGGAUAACUUCAGGAAACUGGGGCUAAUACCGGAUAGGAGCUCCUGCUGCAUGGUGGGGGUUGGAAAGUUUCGGCGGUUGGGGAUGGACUCGCGGCUUAUCAGCUUGUUGGUGGGGUAGUGGCUUACCAAGGCUUUGACGGGUAGCCGGCCUGAGAGGGUGACCGGCCACAUUGGGACUGAGAUACGGCCCAGACUCCUACGGGAGGCAGCAGUGGGGAAUAUUGCACAAUGGGCGGAAGCCUGAUGCAGCAACGCCGCGUGCGGGAUGACGGCCUUCGGGUUGUAAACCGCUUUCGCCUGUGACGAAGCGUGAGUGACGGUAAUGGGGAAAGAAGCACCGGCUAACCACGU